rnacentral:rRNA from 1 species
UACAGAGGGGGCAAGCGUUGUUCGGAAUUACUGGGCGUAAAGGGCGCGUAGGUGGCCUUCUAAGUUGAACGUGAAAUCCCUGGGCUCAACCCAGGAACUGCGUCCAAGACUGGGAGGCUUGAAUCCGGGAGAGGGAUGCGGAAUUCCAGGUGUAGCGGUGAAAUGCGUAGAUAUCUGGAGGAACACCGGUGGCGAAAGCGGCAUCCUGGACCGGUAUUGACACUGAGGCGCGAAAGCCAGGGGAGCAAACGGG